GAUUGGCCUCACGGCCGUUUUCGAACCACACACACACACCGUGAACCGUUCCCUCGCCUCUCGGGGCUUGGGACUACCAAACACACAAUGUCCAAAGAACGUAAAACAUCGUAAACAAACAAAACUUUCAACAACGGAUCUCUUGGCUCU
rnacentral:misc_RNA from 1 species